GAGGCCAGCAGAGAAGGAAAAGAAGAAGGAAAGACUGGGAAGAAGAAGAAUUCACCCCCAAGACACGGCCUAAGCUCAAAGUUGCUAAGAAUCCACUGCACGACCGUGACGUGCAGCAGCCAGAAUCCCGACGAGACCGACCUUGCCCAGCCAACAGGGAAAGUCCACCUGCCUGAUCAGGAUUGGCCACCCGCAAUCCUCAGGACAAGUGAAACGAACUCACCACACUCUAAAGGAUGCUCUAAGAAAAAUGAGUUCUAAGAAAAGGCUGGUGCCAGCAGACCACAAGUGACCUGGGCACCAUGAUAAAGAAGUUGCUGUCGCGACUGUGUGUGUGCGUUUUCUGUUACCUGUUGUUUGUCAGGUAGUCAACCCAAUCCGUUGGCCUGUUGACAUUCAUGCAGUAAAUGUAUGGAGAAAUGAUUGCUGGAUGAUGGUACAAUGUUGGAUUAAUCCAUCAGUAUUCAAUCACACCAGCUAUUGCUUGUGUUGGGAAAAGGGAUUUGCUCAUUAUCAUAACGUAACGGCCGGCGGGCCGUCACCAGAAGCCCCAUCCCAAUCUAGUUUGUCAUUAAUGAUUGGAUAUUCUAACACUGUGAUGGGAAAUUGUACGGGACCAAAAGCCACAAUAUAGAAUAUUGCCUGCCUUAAGCGCACACGGAAACAAGACGGGGUCAAUCCUCUUAGGAUCCCUGUAUCCACCCCAAAAUGUGGAAUACUGAAGGUUAUGGGGUUUGCUUGGCAGCCAGGAGGGGACAUUGAAAUUAGGAUGCUAAUGGGGUUUAAUGAGCCUCACCUGCUUCAAAUCUGGGAAUCAAGGCCCAGCACACUGACUAUUCCCUCAGGGCAACAACUGCAAAUAUCAGGAAAUUGCCCCAAUGAGCCUGGGCAGGUGGAUAUCCGGGAUAUAGGUGAGAUAGGCCCCCCAGAAUGGAUUAAAGAAACCCAAGGCAGUGAAUAUACUAAAAAUCAACCUAAAGUUCCAUUACAAUAUCAGUGUCUGACUAAUUUUCAUAAUAUCCCUGCCCAACUAGGUGAAUAUAUAUUGCAAAACAUCUAGGUAAAAUUAAAUUUUAAAAUAAUUGCCUCCGAACCGGAUAUGCAAAAAUCAAGACGACACCCAAUAAACAGACCACAUGUGGUAAAACUGGAUCAUAGGGUGUGACAUACUAUACCUUGUGGGAGCAUCCUGUAACCCCCAUAUUCCUCAUUUACAUAUAAUGCUGAUAUUGCAUAUAAAACAUGCCAUGUGAGGUGUGAUGAAGUGGGGAGUUUUCUUGUUGUUUCCAAUGGUUUGCAUGCAGAGUGUAGGACUCAGUUUCCUUGUGUGUUACUAGUUUAACGAGGUGGUGGGAGAGGGAGUUUGUUGUUACAGAGGGACAGCGAAUGGCCUGGAGAAUGGACACUUCAGUGACGGGUGACCGGGAGGCCCAGCUCGGGAGUCAUGGCCAGUUCUGGCCAGUGGGAGGACAUGGGUUGUGGGGAGAAGACCCUGGUGACUGGACCCGCCAGUUCCAGCCAGUGGGGAAACAAAGGACGGAUGAGAGGAGAGGCCGAGAGGAGACCCAGGCAACCCUGUUGACCUGGGACAGAAGACAAAGGACAGAGGUGGCACUUGGGGGACAGUGAUAUCGGAUGCCCAGCUGGAAGGAGGGGGCUGCUGGGCUAGGAGGAGAGAGCAGACACAGCCCACCUUGAGGCAGAACAGAUCUAGAUAUGCUGUGCUGAGGGAGGCCAGGCCUGAGGCCGGAAAGUUUCCUAUGAUGGGUUCAGACGCUCAAUAAACCCUCCUGUGUUACGCCGGCUGAGUGUCACUCCGGUCUAGAGAACAGGGUUGCAUUAUUCCCUCUGGGAGUGGAGGCCACGGGGGUCCAGAGCGAGGGGACUCCCUGAGGUGGCCCACAGCAGAGACAGGCGUGCUGAGGCUCAGAGAGGUGCAGUUCCAGGAGGUGGAGGGGCUUAACCCACGAGAAAGAGCAGACCCCCAGGAAGGGCUGUCGCUCUGAAGGGGGCUCCCCACAGGGACCGUACUGAGCCAAGACAGAGCACGAGUCCUGUGAGUCUGUGAGAUGAGGUAUCAUGGCAAAGGUUAUGAUCUGCUGAAAACCAUUGUUCCAUCUAAAUAUGUGUAUCAUUCAUGCAUGUGAAGUUAUGAGAAUGUGCUGUAUGGUUGUCACCAAGAUACACUGUGGGUUUGGGAGGCACCCAGGUACUAGCUCCCCAGAGACAAUGUCAAGGAAAGUAACCAACGCCCAGGUGGGUGUCAAACCAUCAACAGCCGUUGUCCAGCAAGGGAGCUAUAAUUCAGUGACUCACCGGCAUAAGGGCACACCAGGGGAACUGCUCAGCCUUGCUUGAAGACUCAGCAAUGCUCCCUAGACAUGCCUGGACUUGUGUUCUCCGAGCACCUGGACUAAGGGUAUAAAACAGAGCACAGGGGCCCCAUCCUGGGCCUUUCUCCUCCCCCACACUACAUUGCAAGCAACAAGGACACUUGGACUACUGAAGACUCCAGCAGAGAGGACUGGCCCAGGUUUCAAGGGUGAAAGCUGUAUUCUAUGAACUGCAAUAUCCAGUAGGGUGAGAAACUGCUUUGUCUAGAUCAGGGGUCAGCAAUCUGGGC